rnacentral:rRNA from 1 species
GUGGGGAAUAUUCCGCAAUGGACGAAAGUCUGACGGAGCAACGCCGCGUGAGUGAUGAAGGUUUUCGGAUCGUAAAGCUCUUUCGUUAGGGACGAACGUGCUCUUUGUGAAUAAUGAGGAGUAAUGACGGUACCUAAAUAAGAAGCCACGGCUAACUACGUGCCAGCAGCCGCGGUAAUACGUAGGUGGCAAGCGUUGUCCGGAAUUAUUGGGCGUAAAGCGCGCGCAGGCGGGAUAUCAAGUCUGUCUUAAAAGUGCGAGGCUCAACCUCGUGAGGGGACAGAAACUGGUAUUCUUGAGUGUCGGAGAGGAAAGUGGAAUUCCGAGUGUAGCGGUGAAAUGCGUAGAGAUUUGGAAGAACACCAGUGGCGAAGGCGACUUUCUGGACGAUGUCUGACGCUGAGGCGCGAAAGCUAGGGGAGCGAACGGGAUUAGAAACCCGAGUAGUCC